GAGAUACGAAAGCCGCUAACUGAGUUAAGUCGUUUUUUCAAAGACUUGUGUUGUAAUACAUUGAAAUUGGAAGACCUUGUUAGGUUGGAACAAAACAUUACCAUCAUCAUAUGCAAGCUUGAAAGAAUUUUUCCUCCAGGUUUCUUUGACUCAAUGGAACAUCUCCCUAUUCACCUACCUAAUCAAGCAAUCCUUGGUGGUCCUGUACAAUAUCGUUGGAUGUAUCCAUUUGAAAG